UAGCGUAGGGGGCGAGCGUUGUCCGGAAUCAUUGGGCGUAAAGAGCGUGUAGGCGGCUUGGCAAGUCUGACGUGAAAGCCCGCGGCUCAACCGCGGAUUGUCGUUGGAAACUGCCUCGCUAGAGUCCGGAAGAGGAGAGCGGAAUUCCUGGUGUAGCGGUGGAAUGCGCAGAUAUCAGGAAGAACACCCGUGGCGAAGGCGGCUCUCUGGGACGGUACUGACGCUGAGACGCGAAAGCGUGGGGAGCGAACAGG
rnacentral:rRNA from 1 species